rnacentral:rRNA from 1 species
GAUGAACGCUGGCGGCGUGCUUAACACAUGCAAGUCGAACGAAGAUGCCGGAGUGCUUGCACUUUGGCAGACUGAGUGGCGGACGGGUGAGUAACGCGUGGGUAACCUGCCUUAUACAGGGGGAUAACAGUUGGAAACGACUGCUAAUACCGCAUAAGCGCACGGUAUCGCAUGAUACAGUGUGAAAAACUCCGGUGGUACAAGAUGGACCCGCGUCUGAUUAGCUGGUUGGUGAGGUAAACGGGCCCACCAAGGCGACGAUCAGUAGCCGGCCUGAGAGGGUGAACGGCCACAUUGGGACUGAGACACGGCCCAAACUCCUACGGGAGGCAGCAGUGGGGAAUAUUGCACAAUGGGGGAAACCCUGAUGCAGCAACGCCGCGUGAGUGAAGAAGUAUUUCGGUAUGUAAAGCUCUAUCAGCAGGAAAGAAAAUGACGGUACCUGACUAAGAAGCCCCGGCUAACUACGUG